GUCGUCCGUUCAAACAAAAAGAAACGAAGGGCUUGGAUUGGAUGGAAACCCUGCGUGCGAAAGGGUGUGAUUUGCUCAAAUCCUUCAAACCCAGAAUAAUCUCCUUUUAACCCUCCUCCCGCUUCCUCUCCUCUGCUCUGCGAGCCUCUCCUCUCUCUCAUUCGCCCUCUUCUCUCCUCUGCUAUGCCAAGCUCCCCUCACUCUCAUUCACCCUCUCUCUUUGAUGCAAAGCCCACACACAUCAACAGAUAACCUCUCCUUGUUUUGUAAAGCUCGCAAUAGACGCCACCCUCUGCGACUGUUGCUGCAAUAGACGCCACCCUCUGCGAAUCUUGCUGCAAUAGAUGCCAUCCCCUCCUCUUGCAACAGACGACACCCCUCCUCUGUUUAGGACCCCAAUCCAGGUGAGUGAUAUCAGAUCAUCUCGAAUUUUGUGCUCGAACCCAACCCACAAUCUGUGAAUAUACUCUAACCAUGGGUUUUCCCAAAACGAGAUUUAUAAAUAAAACCUUAUGGUUUACAAUGCUAUGCAUCAAAUUUGUGAAUUUUUUUACGGUGGGUAUUUUUCAAUGGAAAAUUAUCUAUUGUGGAAAACCUAAUGUUUUUUCCAAAAUCCAACGCAAAAACCUACGUUUUUUUUCCCAAUAAAUCACCGAAUUAUUACUUCAAAAAUCGAAUUUCCUAAUAAAUCACAGAAUCAAUCACCAAAUUAUUACUCAAAAACCACAAGUCUAGCCAAUCAUAUGAGAGCACAGUUCUGAUCUUUGUAAAAAUGUAAGGUUUUAUUUACAGUGAGCCACCCACUGUGAAUCACUAUAAAUAAAAAAAAUUUCUUCCUUUAUCUUCUUUUAUUGCUCCUUUUUCUUCUUUUUUUUGAUGUAGUUCUAAAGUGAUUGUAGGAUUGGCUUUUUGUUUUCUUUUUUAGAUUGAUUGCACUUAUUUUUUUCCGGUAGCUUUUGCUAAUACUAGGAAUUAAUGUGCAAAAGUUAUUUAUAGAAAAAUAAAUAUUCAAAGAAAUCAUGUUUUUGUAAUUUGAUGUGGGGCAUCGAUGUGUAAUGUUCGUGAUUUUGAGAUUUACCCAAGACAUUGAGUUGUUUAUGUUAAAGGCUUUUGAAUUUGUAGUAGGUGAAAAUAUGGGCAAAUGGCAUGGAGAUGUAUUGAGAAAGAAAGGGCUUUUGGGUUGUUGUUAUUACCCUUUCUCAAAGUGGGAUGUAUUGUUAAUCAUGCUUGAUAAAGAGCAGUGCGUCUUUUUCUUUAUUUAACUGAUAAAAGCAGGAUGUUCAUUCCUUUAGCUGUUGCUGAGGUCUGAAAAUUUCAGACUUCACACCAGAAUUUUGCCUUAAACUUGUUCCUUGUAAUUUUUUUCUUUUCCUCAAGUAGAUGUUUUCAUUCAGUAAAUGGGUACCAAUCAGAUUCUUGGUUGAAUUUCAGGCCUGACUUUUAAAUUAAAGUCACAUAUUAAAAAUCAUUUGUUUUAAGUUCUACUUGGUUAUAAUUAUCCACUGGCAAAAGUAUGGCAAUGCAAUGCAAUUAGACAUUGUCUCUGAAUCUUGGUCUCUAUGUUUUAUGUUCUCCUUCUGAAUCUAACAAGGGUAAUGUCUUGUGUUUUUCAUUUAAACAUGAAUUUUGUAGGGGUAUUGAACUUCCUUAAUGGCAUCAGAUAUGUUCUGCAUUUCUCUCUCAUUCUUUAUGUAGAAUUGAUCUACUUAACGUUGUAGGUAUUUGUGUACUGAAUAAUUAUUAAGCGGACUCAUAUAUACGGGAAACAAGUAAGAUUUACAUAGGUUUUACAUGGCUAAAUUACAGUUAUUAUUCUGAAUAAUGGGAGUGGAUGAAGAUACUAAAUGCUAAAGUGGGUUGCAUUUUUUUCCCAUUCUCUGGUUGAGAGAGAGGAGGAGGGAUAUUGUCUCAGUGCAAGGCCUUUAUUUUCUAGGCACUAUACAAGGAAUAGAAGCUGACAUUUCUUUUUUUAUUUAAAGGAAAAUUUUCUCUUCAUGGAUGUCCCAUUCAUGAAAAAGGGUAAUGAGAAAGAAAGGGCUUUCUGGCUCGUUUCUUUAUUAUGAAGCCCAUAUGUAUAUUCUGCAGUUGUGUGGCUUGGAAUCAUGACAAAACUUUUCAUCAUCAAUCAAACAAAUGUAGCUUGACUUUAAAAUUUUGAAAAGUUAUUGUGCUGGACAUUUGUGUGUCUCAUGUGCUAAGAUUUGAAGUUGUUAGUGGAUCCAGUUCUACUAAUCCAAAAUUGUUUAUAAUUCUAUUUCAUUGCUGAUAACUAGUAACUAGGAUCCAGUUUUUUUUCAUCACAAUUGUUCAAUUACAUUUCCGUACAAUUGAAAUCCCUUUCAUUUAAUCUAAAUGUUUUAUAUAUUUGUGUGUCUAAUACAUACGAGGUUUCCUUUAUCCUUGGAAUUAUAAGACUUGUGUUGUGCAAACUUUUAAUGACCUGGUUUUAUUUAUUUUUUUGUUUCUAUUAGGUUUAAUAUCUAUUUUGUGCUUGAGGUUUCAUGAUUUUGAAGCCAUGCCUUGUUAAUUGAGUGGUUUAGAGCUUGUUUGGAUUUAUUCUUGCAAUAUAUACUAUGUAGAGCGUACUAUUUUGUUGCAGAUGUAUCGCCACUUAUUGGACUCAAUAUAAAGACCAAACUACGAGUGGACAUUUAAAAAUAGCAAUUGAGAGCCUCUAUUUUAGUUUUACAAUGGUCCAAACUCUAAUUUCAGUCAAUACAAGGCAUGCCUUUCUGAUUAGCUGCAUGUUUUCUGUUUUGCAAGAGACUAACUAACUCUGUCAGGGACAUGACUAUAAACCACCUAGAUUAUAUUCUAGGUUAUAUACACUAUGAUUAAAUGUUUGAUUGGGAUAUUGCUCAUUGAAGUUUAAUUUAUCUUUUAGAGUUCCCAUGGGAGUUUGGAAUGUUGAUACUCCCUAUUUAUAUUGCUAUCUCACCUGGAAUUUUGUUCUUAUAGUCCUUUUGUUAUUUAUAAUUUUUUGAUAUAAGUUUUCUUUUACCUUUUGUGCAUUGUUGUAACUUGGCAAUUGUGGUAUGUGGACUUUAUCAGAUAUGCAUUCAAGUUAAUAUAUUACAGUUAGAAGGAUAGGGGUGGGAUUUGAAGGAUAAAAGACACUGCAUGAUCCAUAUUGUGCAUGUUUGCUUUUAUUAUUUAGUUCAUUAUCUAUAUAGUUUACCUAGUGUAUGGUUUGAAUGUCAGGCAUGAUCAUUAUUUGAAUUGUUGUAUGGAAGCUUUGGAUCUCAUAUGAUGAGUUUAGAAACAAUACAUUUAGUGUGGAUCAGUUUUUUUUAAAAACGGAUCAUGGGGGUAGAUUGUCCAACCCACCACUGUGAUAUUUUAUGCCUUGUACUGCUAAGUAUACUGCGCUAUUUUUUCUUCUUCUCUGUGUUUGAAGUGCUCUUUUGAAGAGAUUGCACCUUUGGAUGGACAAUGCUUCAUUCUGUGCGGCAUUAUCUGUUUGUCCAUCGCUCAUCGAUCUUGAAGUCAUGGGCCUGUAUAUUGAGCUCUGACAAGCUCUGAAGACUCUCAGUACAUGAAGGUAGAAGUACAUGUCACAUGGAGAAGUUCACAUAUUCAGUCUCAUUCUCAGAGAUCAAUAAAACUUUUGAAUACAUGCUCAAAGGUGAUAGCUUUGACUGGAGAGUAAAACUUGAAAAAGCAAAAAAAAAUAAAUUACUUGUUGAUGGUUGAAUCAA